GUAUCACGAUUAGGCUGGAACUGGGUACAGCAAGAGUUUGAAUGUUGUGGUGCCGAUAGCUACGCUGACUUUGAGGAGAAAGGUAGUUCGUAUAAAGAUGGCAUCACAAAUGAUAACUUCGUCAUUGGUAUAAGUAAUGGGGAUGUGUAUGCCCCGGUAGCAUGUUGUAAGACAUUACCGUUGACUGAUGCUGAACGUACAACAUGUGCCGGAUAUGGUAGUCUUCCCAGUGAAACUAACAGUAAUCUCAACAAGGGGUGUGUAGACCAAGUAUGGAAAAUUGUUGUAGAGGACAAUACUGUAUACUUCGGGCUUGCUGUAGGGUUUUGCUUUGCCUUCCAGAUUGUUAUCAUCUUCUUCGCCAUUCUAAUCUACAAGAACCGAGGCAUUACCGGUGGUUUGGUGUAAUAACAUCGUCAUCGUGUGUUUUGAAACAACGAAGUGUUUAUAUCGUCUGUGAUACAUAAUCUAUGUCUUUCUUUCUUAAUUCUCAGUUAUACUUCAUCAUAACAUACAUAUAUAGAUGUUCCCUUAAUCAACUACGUUUUAUUAAGACUAGUUUUCUUAUUUUCUAUUAAACAGCUUAAAAUCAAAUACUAAACAGAAAACUGUUAAAUUCGGGUGAGGAUUUUUCGAACUAGCUUUUAGGAACAAUAACUGCACGGUUUUCUUUUGCAAUAACGAAUGUUUCCAUAUUUUUCUAGUGGCUUUUAUAUGAUAAUGCAACCAAUGUUCGUACGGAACAACAGUUUUGACAUAGUGACAAAAGAAUUAGAAUUGUAAGUGUCUGUUUAUACAUCCUUUGAGCGGCCACCAUUUUUUUCAAGCCCCCAAACUCCAAGAAUAUUAGUUACUACCCAGACAGAGUAAUCUCCUAAAAAUAUGAUUAAGUGGUGUGUAGUUAUGUGCAGGUCGUCAUGGAAAUGUAUAAACAAAUAAAAGAAAAAGACCCGGUAUACCUCACAACAUUUUGACAGGAAAGUCACGUGACCCCUGUCCAGAAACAUGUAUUCGUGGAUGGUUUCAAUUUCGUAAAUACAUGUACGUCUUCAAAUGGAUAAAGCGGUGUCAAGAAAUUGUCCUUGACCUCUACGUUUUAUUACACUAUUGUCGUUAAAAGGAUAUAAGAUUGUGCUUUGAGUGUACUGAUUAUACUAUGUAUUAAAGUUAUCACACAAUGAUCUGCGCAAUUAAUGUCCUACAAUAAUAAACUUCUACAUGAAACUGUAUUUUUUCUUAAUAAAAUCAUUUUGACUAAUUUCUAGUCACUUUUAUAUGUUUAUAAUUUUCAACGUUGCAAUUUAUAAUUAUUCUUUUUGUGCUGGGAACAUGUGAAUAAAUAUGAAUUAACCGUUUUCUGA